GUAUGACAGUUGAGAAAAGAAUAAUACACGCAAAUAAAAAUCUGUUUUUCCUGAUGUUGGAUACAUUGUACUUUUCAGUCACGAACAAAAAAGAACCCGGAACGGGAACAAAAUAUCGUAAAAUUAUAAAAUGACUUCACACGCUCACUUAGUUUUUCUUAAGUUUUAAUUUAAAAGUCACAAACUAGUUUCACCGUGAAUGGCUCAUCAGUGUGUCUAAAUAUAUAACAAUAAGAGAAAGGGAAUUAAUUCAAUAGUUUUGACGUUGACGUCAAGGAAACAAAGGACGUAAUUUCGACGUCAAACAGGGGAGUUCAUGACGUUAUAAUGUUAUUUAGCAAUCCGUAUCAUGUGAAAUGUUCCGCAUGUUUAAUUUCGGUUUAAAACAGUCAAUAAAGUAUUUUUCUUUUGUUAAUCUAGCUGAUAAACUGUUAGUUUUCAUUUUAUAAAAUGGGAAUAUAGUAAAUUUUGGCUCUGUUGUAUAGCAAAAGUCUAUAUGGCUACUGACAGAUACAUGGGGUUUGAUUUCGUUUGGAUCUUUUUCAACUGGUCUGAGGAGAGUUACUCUUGAAUAUGAAGCAUCAUCAAGGUAUCUUUUGCAGUUUUCUCGUAUAUAAUGUGCAAAUUCUAAGUCAUAUGUCUGUUCUAAUUCGGUAUACAAAUUUUCCACUAAAAAUGCUAAAACUAAAGUAGCAUAUGUUGGUGCAAACGUUGUGCCCAUAGCCGUACCCUUAAUUUGAUUGUAAAAAAAUAUCAUUAAAUAUAAAGUUAUUGUUUUCAAGUAUAGUUUUAAUUGCUUCAAGAAUAAACUCUUUUGUGAACCGUUUGUGUAUUACUUCUCUUAUUGUUAUAUAUUUAGACACACUGAUGAGCCAUUCACGGCGAAACUAGUUUGUGACUUUUAUAUUAAAAUUUUUGAAAAACUAAGCGAGCGUGUGAAGUCAUUUUAUAAUUGUACGAUAUAUAUAUAUAUGCGCUUCAGGUCUGCAGUGAAUCACAGUUCACUACACUCAUUUUAUACCAAUCACCGGAAGCACUGUACAAUUAC
rnacentral:lncRNA from 1 species